rnacentral:rRNA from 1 species
AUGUGCAGUCAGGUUGUUCUGAGUGAGGAACCUGACAAAGUCAACUGGCUUUUGACUAGCUCUGGUCAGUUCUCUGUUAAAUCUCUUUAUCAAUAUAUUAUUGCAAAGAGAGUAGUGUUCCCUUUUAAGUUUCUUUGGAAACUGAAGGUACCUUUGAAAAUUAAAGCUUUUAUAUGGUUAGUUAUCAAAGGAAGGAUCCUGACCAAGGACAACUUGUGUAAAAAAGGCUGGAAAGGCACCAACAAAUGUGAAUUUUGUGAUGCCAAUGAAUAUAUUGAUCAUCUGUUUUUCACUUGUUCUCUUGCUCGGUUUCUUUGGAAUGUAGUUGGGAGUGCUUUGGGAAAUCCCCAAACACCCCUGUCAUUCUUUGACCUUUGCCAGAAUUGGCUUCCUAAGUAUACUGGGAAAGAUAGAAUGGUUAUAGCUAUUGGUACGACUGCUUUGUUAUGGUCGAUCUGGAAAGCAAGAAAUAAAUCCUGCUUUCAAAGUUCUUUACCUAGGGAUCCUACUGAUAUUAUCGUCUCUUUAUGUUAUAUGUUGGAUUCCUGGGGUGUGCUACAGAAAAGAGGGGUGGAAAAAACUCUUAAGGAAGUGACCAAGAGGUUGGCCCAGAUAGCGAGGGACGUCUUCAAGCGUGCUUACGGAUGGGGCCCAGCUGUACGGAGGCUCUGUUGA